rnacentral:rRNA from 1 species
UACGUAGGUGGCAAGCGUUGUCCGGAAUUAUUGGGCGUAAAGCGCGCGUAGGCGGCUUUGUAUGUCGAUUGUGAAAGCCCCGGGCUCAACCUGGGAACUGCAGUCGAAACUGCAAAGCUUGAAUGUUGGAGAGGUUGGGGGAAUACCUAGUGGAGAAGUGAAAUUCGUAGAGAUUAGGUGGAACACCAGAGGCGAAGGCGCCUGACUGGCCAAACAUUGACGCUGAGGCGCGAAAGCGUGGGUAGCAAACAGG